GAUGAACGCUAGCGGCAGGCUUAACACAUGCAAGUCGAACGGUAACAGAAAAAGCUUGCUUUUUGCUGACGAGUGGCGAACGGGUGAGUAACGCGUAUGCAACCUACCUUUAACUGAGGAAUAGCCCAGAGAAAUUUGGAUUAAUACCUCAUAAUAACAUUUUAACUCAUGUUUUUAUGUUUAAAGCUUUUGCGGUUAAAGAUGGGCAUGCGUGACAUUAGUUUGUUGGUGUGGUAACGGCACACCAAGACUACGAUGUCUAGGGGGUCUGAGAGGAUGAUCCCCCACACUGGUACUGAGACACGGACCAGACUCCUACGGGAGGCAGCAGUGAGGAAUAUUGGGCAAUGGAGGCAACUCUGACCCAGCCAUGCCGCGUGCAGGAAGAAGGUCCUAUGGAUUGUAAACUGCUUUUAUUUGGGAAUAAACCCCUCUACGUGUAGAGGGCUGAAGGUACCAAACGAAUAAGCACCGGCUAACUCCGUG
rnacentral:rRNA from 1 species